CGAGGGCUGAGCUUCGUCAACGCCUCCUCUUCCUUCUCUGCCCGCCGAAGCGGAGAUUUCUCCGGCUGCUAUGACACAAAGCAGAGGCCUGGAGAGGUGUAGUUGAACCAGAGGUCACAGGGAUGAAGUGCUGGCAUUUCUUGAUUUGCAGCAACACUGACGUCAUCUGCCAACCCCCUCAGAAUUCUUCUUCACUCUGAGCUUAGCUGUGCAGAAGUGCAUUUUUCCAACAAAAGUAUUGCUUCCUGGUGCAAUACAAAGUACUUCAUGGUGGCUUUGUCUUGAAUGGACAAUAUUUGAAAGAACUACUUCUGGUGAAGAGGAGAAUUGCUAAAAUGGGUUUGUUGACAUGGAUCAACACAGCUGCCGGAAUUUCUGGAGUAUCCUUGAGGGCAUGUGUAUGGAGACUGUGAUGAUGAGUGCCUGCACUUCAAAAUUUACCACUACACCACUUCUCUUGUCUGGAUAAAGCUUCGGUUUGUUCACCCUCA